UGACGUAGAGGAAUGUCAGGGCAUAGAGAGUACGGAAACGAUAUAAUAUUCUAUUCCGAGACACGUUUCCGAGGAGGGUUUUCUUUUCGUGUGCAAAAUAUAUAAUCAUUAAACACCGUUUAUGAAAUAUGUACGACAUCCGCGGUGCCGGAGAUUCCGGAGACCGACAUCGCGCGUACAUUUUAAAACAUGUAGAUUUUCCGCACAGCGGCGGUGUACUUCGUACACCGGAGUAUUUUUCCAGACGCCAGACAGUUUUCAAAGGAAAAAUUAUUAACGGGAAUCGGAACGGGAGUCUCUAACGAAAACUCGGUGUUUAGCCGGUAUUUAAAUGACUGUACGUUGUAGAGCUCGCGAUUGAAUUUUACAUAUUUUCUUGCAGUUUUUUGUUUUUCCCGGAUUAGACGACGACGCGGUCUUAUUUUAAAUAUUUAUCGCGAGAAGGAAUACUUUGCGAAAUGUAUAGGGUUUUCAGAACCUCGCGUUUCAAUCGAAUUUUUGUACAAAUGACUCAUGUUAAAACUUUUCCCUUACCCACGUCUAAAAGUGGAACAUUUCAUCAACUAUAUAGACGACGGAUAUUGAAAUGAUGUGAAUAAUUCGGAACAUUUUCGCCAACCGAAAAAGUGUGCUCAGUGAAAAAAGACAUAUGUUAGUAAAACUAAUAUAUAUAGCUUAUUUGCUUUUCUCGAAAUCUAAUUGUGCAAAACGAUUAAUCACGAGGGUAUUUUUUGUCGCCCUUAUUUUAUAUAUUAACGUCGGUUAUGCAUUUUUUAUACAACAACUAUAUUUUCGCGAAGUGUUUAGAACUCGAUAUUUGACGCCUUGAACGAACGGCGAAUUCACGU